AACGAACGCUGGCGACAGGCCUAACACAUGCAAGUCGAACGCAUCGCAAGAUGAGUGGCGCACGGGUGAGUAACACAUGGGAAUGUAUCCUUUGGUUCGGAAUAACGUCUGGAAACGGACGCUAAUACCGGAUGAGCCCUUAGGGGGAAAGAUUUAUCGCCGAAGGAGCAGCCCGCGUCUGAUUAGGUAGUUGGUGGGGUAAGGCCUACCAAGCCGACGAUCAGUAGCUGGUCUGAGAGGAUGAUCAGCCACACUGGGACUGAGACACGGCCCAGACUCCUACGGGAGGCAGCAGUGGGAAAUAUUGGACAAUGGGCGCAAGCCUGAUCCAGCCAUGCCGCGUGAGUGAUGAAGGCCUUCGGGUUGUAAAGCUCUUUCGCACACGACGAUGAUGACGGUAGUGUGAGAAGAAGCCCCGGCUAACUUCGUGCCAGCCGCCGCCGUAAGAC
rnacentral:rRNA from 1 species